rnacentral:lncRNA from 1 species
GCUCGCAGUGAGCCCAACCUUUCAUUUCUUCCACUGAGCUGAAAAGAGCUCUGCAAUCACAUCAUCACAGCACAAGGCAGUCACAAAUAUUCCACAUCUUUUAAAGCCAGAGAAGUACAGGGAACAGAAAGGCAGCAAAACACUCUGUACAACAGGAAAAAAACCCCCACUCUUGUGCCCAUAGAGCAGCAGCAGAAUUGCCAAGUUGAGCACUCCAGAAGUAAGGCAUAUGUAAAUUAAGGUUGCUUGUGUAAUAUCACUUCACUCCCCCACCUCCCUCUCUACAUUUGCAUCCUGAAACUGCCUUUAAUUGUAAGAAUUGCCUGCUACAUUUUACCACCAUACCCCUCUCACCCUGUUCCCAGCACUUGAUUAAUGAGCAGCUAUUCAAUAUCUUGUUUUCUUCUCCAGCACGUGGUCUCGUUCUUCAUCUUUACUGCUGAAACCCUGCUCUGGAGUCAGAAGUCUCCAUGAAUCGUGUAGGGAUGGAUUUUUUUUAAAUAGACAUUUACUGCUCAGCCAAAUUUGGGUAGCAUUUCCAAAGAAGGGGAAGAGGUCAGGCGUACAACACAAGCUCACUGAAUCCAGUUCCCUGCUCCAGAUUGCAACGGCACAAGGAAAAGACAGCAGUGGUUUUUCCCGAGGACAACACAAUUUUCUUCUAAGAUGUGUGUGAGAUCAUCCCAAGGGAGUCUCCUGGGAGGAUCUGACCCUGAUGGGUCAGGCAGAAAUGCUGGAUCUGAAAUGGUGCCCUGGAGUUUGCUCCCUGCUCUGGCUGAACGUGCCAUCAGCUGGUGUUGUUACCCUCCUGGAAGAGGGUUUGGAGUGGGGCACUGCCAUGCCCAGCCAAGCCCAGGUACGUGGUGGGCUCAGAGCAGGGCAGGGCGAGGAGGAGGGAGCAGCCAGUCCCCGCAGGACCUUGUUUUGAUCUUGCUUCACCAGGCGCAUCUCGCAGGGGCGGUGUAAGCUGCAGGGCUCGGAGCCAGGCAGAGCCAUCCCCCGAGCAUCCCCCGGGCACCUCCAGACCGUGUCCGCAGCCAGCAGAGGAAAUUCCGGCGAGACCCGACCCUCCCUCACUUCCUCUGGGGGCCUGGCGCCGGUCGCCAGCAAAUCCUCUCACUUCUCAGGAUCUUUAUGUCAGGCUGCAGCUCCUAUUUUUGAGCUGACGUUCCCCGGUUUAAUCCACUUAGCCUGUGACCACCUCCAUCAGCUUCCCGCAAGCAC